rnacentral:rRNA from 1 species
UCGAGGAUCUUCGGCAAUGGGCGCAAGCCUGACCGAGCGACGCCGCGUGUGCGAUGAAGGCCUUCGGGUUGUAAAGCACUGUCGAGGGGGAGGAAGCUCCGCAAGGGGUUGACCUAUCCCUGGAGGAAGCACGGGCUAAGUUCGUGCCAGCAGCCGCGGUAAGACGAACCGUGCGAACGUUGUUCGGAAUCACUGGGCUUAAAGGGCGCGUAGGCGGGCGAGCAAGUCCGGGGUGAAAUCUUUCGGCUUAACCGGAAAAGUGCCUUGGAUACUGCAAGCCUAGAGGGAGGUAGGGGCAGCGGGAACUUCCAGUGGAGCGGUGAAAUGCGUUGAUAUUGGAAGGAACUCCGGUGGCGAAAGCGCGCUGCUGGAUCUCUACUGACGCUGAGGCGCGAAAGCUAGGGGAGCAAACGGGAUUAGAUACCCCCGUAGUCC